UACGUAGGGGGCAAGCGUUGUCCGGAUUUAUUGGGCGUAAAGCGCACGUAGGCGGCUUCCUAAGUCGGAUGUGAAAUCCCUCGGCUCAACCGAGGACGUGCAUCCGAAACUGGGAAGCUCGAGUAUGGAAGAGGGUCGCGGAAUUCUCGGUGUAGAGGUGAAAUUCGUAGAUAUCGGGAGGAACACCAGUGGCGAAGGCGGCGACCUGGGCCAAUACUGACGCUGAGGUGCGAAAGCGUGGGGAGCAAACAGG
rnacentral:rRNA from 1 species